rnacentral:rRNA from 1 species
UUAAGUUAUUAAGGGCGCACGGUGGAUGCCUUGGCACUAGAAGCCGAUGAAGGACGUUACUAACGACGAUAUGCUUUGGGGAGCUGUAAGUAAGCUUUGAUCCAGAGAUUUCCGAAUGGGGAAACCCAGCAUGAGUUAUGUCAUGUUAUCGAUAUGUGAAUACAUAGCAUAUCAGAAGGCACACCCGGAGAACUGAAACAUCUUAGUACCCGGAGGAAGAGAAAGAAAAUUCGAUUCCCUUAGUAGCGGCGAGCGAAACGGGAAGAGCCCAAACCAACAAGCUUGCUUGUUGGGGUUGUAGGACACUCUAUACGGAGUUACAAAGGACGACAUUAGACGAAUCAUCUGGAAAGAUGAAUCAAAGAAGGUAAUAAUCCUGUAGUCGAAAAUGUUGUCUCUCUUGAGUGGAUCCUGAGUACGACGGAGCACGUGAAAUUCCGUCGGAAUCUGGGAGGACCAUCUCCUAAGGCUAAAUACUCUCUAGUGACCGAUAGUGAACCAGUACCGUGAGGGAAAGGUGAAAAGCACCCCGGAAGGGGAGUGAAAUAGAACCUGAAACCGUGUGCUUACAAGUAGUCAGAGCCCGUUAAUGGGUGAUGGCGUGCCUUUUGUAGAAUGAACCGGCGAGUUACGAUUUGAUGCAAGGUUAAGCAGUAAAUGUGGAGCCGUAGCGAAAGCGAGUCUGAAUAGGGCGUUUAGUAUUUGGUCGUAGACCCGAAACCAGGUGAUCUACCCUUGGUCAGGUUGAAGUUCAGGUAACACUGAAUGGAGGACCGAACCGACUUACGUUGAAAAGUGAGCGGAUGAACUGAGGGUAGCGGAGAAAUUCCAAUCGAACCUGGAGAUAGCUGGUUCUCUCCGAAAUAGCUUUAGGGCUAGCCUCAAGUGAUGAUUAUUGGAGGUAGAGCACUGUUUGGACGAGGGGCCCCUCUCGGGUUACCGAAUUCAGACAAACUCCGAAUGCCAAUUAAUUUAACUUGGGAGUCAGAACAUGGGUGAUAAGGUCCGUGUUCGAAAGGGAAACAGCCCAGACCACCAGCUAAGGUCCCAAAAUAUAUGUUAAGUGGAAAAGGAUGUGGCGUUGCCCAGACAACUAGGAUGUUGGCUUAGAAGCAGCCAUCAUUUAAAGAGUGCGUAAUAGCUCACUAGUCGAGUGACACUGCGCCGAAAAUGUACCGGGGCUAAACAUAUUACCGAAGCUGUGGAUUGUCCUUUGGACAAUGGUAGGAGAGCGUUCUAAGGGCGUUGAAGCAUGAUCGUAAGGACAUGUGGAGCGCUUAGAAGUGAGAAUGCCGGUGUGAGUAGCGAAAGACGGGUGAGAAUCCCGUCCACCGAUUGACUAAGGUUUCCAGAGGAAGGCUCGUCCGCUCUGGGUUAGUCGGGUCCUAAGCUGAGGCCGACAGGCGUAGGCGAUGGAUAACAGGUUGAUAUUCCUGUACCACCUAUAAUCGUUUUAAUCGAUGGGGGGACGCAGUAGGAUAGGCGAAGCGUGCGAUUGGAUUGCACGUCUAAGCAGUAAGGCUGAGUAUUAGGCAAAUCCGGUACUCGUUAAGGCUGAGCUGUGAUGGGGAGAAGACAUUGAGUCUUCGAGUCGUUGAUUUCACACUGCCGAGAAAAGCCUCUAGAUAGAAAAUAGGUGCCCGUACCGCAAACCGACACAGGUAGUCAAGAUGAGAAUUCUAAGGUGAGCGAGCGAACUCUCGUUAAGGAACUCGGCAAAAUGACCCCGUAACUUCGGGAGAAGGGGUGCUCUUUAGGGUUAACGCCCAGAAGAGCCGCAGUGAAUAGGCCCAAGCGACUGUUUAUCAAAAACACAGGUCUCUGCUAAACCGUAAGGUGAUGUAUAGGGGCUGACGCCUGCCCGGUGCUGGAAGGUUAAGAGGAGUGGUUAGCUUCUGCGAAGCUACGAAUCGAAGCCCCAGUAAACGGCGGCCGUAACUAUAACGGUCCUAAGGUAGCGAAAUUCCUUGUCGGGUAAGUUCCGACCCGCACGAAAGGCGUAACGAUUUGGGCACUGUCUCAACGAGAGACUCGGUGAAAUCAUAGUACCUGUGAAGAUGCAGGUUACCCGCGACAGGACGGAAAGACCCCGUGGAGCUUUACUGUAGCCUGAUAUUGAAAUUCGGCACAGCUUGUACAGGAUAGGUAGGAGCCUUUGAAACGUGAGCGCUAGCUUACGUGGAGGCGCUGGUGGGAUACUACCCUAGCUGUGUUGGCUUUCUAACCCGCACCACUUAUCGUGGUGGGAGACAGUGUCAAGCGGGCAGUUUGACUGGGGCGGUCGCCUCCUAAAAGGUAACGGAGGCGCUCAAAGGUUCCCUCAGAAUGGUUGGAAAUCAUUCAUAGAGUGUAAAGGCAUAAGGGAGCUUGACUGCGAGACCUACAAGUCGAGCAGGGUCGAAAGACGGACUUAGUGAUCCGGUGGUUCCGCAUGGAAGGGCCAUCGCUCAACGGAUAAAAGCUACCCCGGGGAUAACAGGCUUAUCUCCCCCAAGAGUUCACAUCGACGGGGAGGUUUGGCACCUCGAUGUCGGCUCAUCGCAUCCUGGGGCUGUAGUCGGUCCCAAGGGUUGGGCUGUUCGCCCAUUAAAGCGGUACGCGAGCUGGGUUCAGAACGUCGUGAGACAGUUCGGUCCCUAUCCGUCGUGGGCGUAGGAAAUUUGAGAGGAGCUGUCCUUAGUACGAGAGGACCGGGAUGGACAUACCUCUGGUGUACCAGUUGUCGUGCCAACGGCAUAGCUGGGUAGCUAUGUGUGGACGGGAUAAGUGCUGAAAGCAUCUAAGCAUGAAGCCCCCCUCAAGAUGAGAUUUCCCAACUUCGGUUAUAAGAUCCCUCAAAGAUGAUGAGGUUAAUAGGUUCGAGG